rnacentral:rRNA from 1 species
UACGAAGGGUGCAAACGUUGCUCGGAAUUAUUGGGCGUAAAGCGCACGUAGGCGGCAUUGCAAGUCGGAUGUGAAAUCUUAUGGCUUAACCAUAAAAGUGCAUCCGAAACUGCAGUGCUUGAGUACUUAAGAGGAUCGCGGAAUUCCCGGUGUAGAGGUGAAAUGCGUAGAGAUCGGGAGGAAGGCCGGUGGCGAAGGCGGCGCUCUGGAACAUUUCUGACGCUGAGGCUCGAAAGCGUGGGGAGCAAACAGG